rnacentral:rRNA from 1 species
UAGGGAAUCUUCCGCAAUGGACGCAAGUCUGACGGAGCAACGCCGCGUGAGUGAAGAAGGAUUUCGGUUCGUAAAACUCUGUUGUUAGAGAAGAACAGCGCAUAGAGUAACUGUUAUGCGUGUGACGGUAUCUAACCAGAAAGCCACGGCUAACUACGUGCCAGCAGCCGCGGUAAUACGUAGGUGGCAAGCGUUGUCCGGAUUUAUUGGGCGUAAAGCGAGCGCAGGCGGUCAAUUAAGUCUGAUGUGAAAGCCCCCGGCUCAACCGGGGAGGGUCAUUGGAAACUGGUUGACUUGAGUGCAGAAGAGGAGGGUGGAAUUCCAUGUGUGACGGUGAAAUGCAUAGAUAUAUGGAGGAACACCAGUGGCGAAGGCGACUCUCUGGUCUGUAACUGACGCGGAGGCUCGAAAGCGUGGGUAGCAAACAGG